UACGGAGGGUGCGAGCGUUGUCCGGAAUCACUGGGCGUAAAGGGCGCGUAGGCGGCCUGAUAAGUAGGGGGUGAAAUCCUGCGGCUUAACCGCAGGGCUGCCUUCUAAACUGUCAGGCUAGAGCACAGUAGAGGCAGGUGGAAUUCCACGUGUAGCAGUGAAAUGCGUAGAGAUGUGGAGGAACACCGAUGGCGAAGGCAGCCCCCUGGGUCAACACUGACGCUCAUGCACGAAAGCGUGGGGAGCAAACAGG
rnacentral:rRNA from 1 species